rnacentral:rRNA from 1 species
UUGAACGCUGGCGGCAGGCCUAACCCCUGCAAGUCGAACGGUAACAGGAAGAAGCUUGCUUCUUUGCUGACGAGUGGCGGACGGGUGAGUAAUGUCUGGGAAACUGCCUGAUGGAGGGGGAUAACUACUGGAAACGGUAGCUAAUACCGCAUAACGUCGCAAGACCAAAGAGGGGGACCUUCGGGCCUCUUGCCAUCGGAUGUGCCCAGAUGGGAUUAGCUAGUAGGUGGGGUAACGGCUCACCUAGGCGACGAUCCCUAGCUGGUCUGAGAGGAUGACCAGCCCACUGGAACUGAGACACGGUCCAGACUCCUACGGGAGGCAGCAGUGGGGAAUAUUGCACAAUGGGCGCAAGCCUGAUGCAGCCAUGCCGCGUGUAUGAAGAAGGCCUUCGGGUUGUAAAGUACUUUCAGCGGGGAGGAAGGGAGUAAAGUUAAUACCUUUGCUCAUUGACGUUACCCGCAGAAGAAGCACCGGCUAACUCCGUG